UUUGCAUGCACUGAGGAUAGAAUAGCCCUCCUCAAUGUGGGGUGGUUAUGAUACCCUUUCCCAAAGAACUGUAAACUCUUAGAAGAGCAGGAGUUGUUGCAGUAUCCAACCUUCAAGAUGGCCUCCAAUGAUACCCAUUUCCACAUAUUUAUAACUGUGUACUUUUCUUCUGUUACCAAGGUUGAUACGUGUUACACAUAGAAUAUGGUAAAAGUGAUGAAACCCUAUCAUGAACAAUCCUAAGGAGAGACCAACAUGGCAAAGAAGAAAAGCCUCCUGCCAACAAUCGUACGAGUGAACUUGGAAGUUGAUUAUGCCACCACAGUUGAACAUUGAGAUGAGUGCAGCCUCAGGCAAUGGACGUGACUGCAACCUUGGGACAGACCUUGAACCAAACCACCCAGAUACUAUGUUUAUUCGGAAUUGGUGGUUUCUGACAACCCUACAUGAGGAAUUCUGUUGACACCAUGUUUCCAACAGGAUGUGAUCACUUUGUAUCUUUGUCAC
rnacentral:lncRNA from 1 species